rnacentral:rRNA from 1 species
CAGCCGCGGUAAUACGGAAGGUCCGGGCGUUAUCCGGAUUUAUUGGGUUUAAAGGGAGCGUAGGCCGGAGAUUAAGCGUGUUGUGAAAUGUAGACGCUCAACGUCUGCACUGCAGCGCGAACUGGUUUCCUUGAGUACGCACAAAGUGGGCGGAAUUCGUGGUGUAGCGGUGAAAUGCUUAGAUAUCACGAAGAACUCCGAUUGCGAAGGCAGCUCACUGGAGCGCAACUGACGCUGAAGCUCGAAAGUGCGGGUAUCGA